AGAGAAGGAAAGAAAGAAAAGAGAAAGAGAAAGAAAUGAGAAAAAGCUAGAAUUUUCAAGGGUUCCAAGCUUAACUGGUUAGAUUAAAGUUGAAUUGUUGAAUUAGCAUCAAAGGUCAAUCCCGAACUCAUUGUGGUGAAGUACAUAUCUUUUUGGUGUGGUGAAGGACAUUUGUAUUUUUCAUUUUGAAAAGUGUUGCAAAAUAUGUUAGAAAAUGUUAUUGAAUACAUAUAUAUAUAUAUAUAAUUUUAUGUACUAUAUUAAGUAUGUUUUGGUAUGAAAAUUAAAUUUGAUUUUAAUGAAGUAUUGAAUUGAUUGAGA